CUUUUCGGUGUGGAUUUGAAGAGGAUUUGUGAAGUGGCUUUGAUUUGAUGUUUUUCAGUUUAAUUUGAAGGAAUUUCUUGCGCAGAAGAGCUAGGCUUUCUUGUUUAUGGAAGAAGAGGUUGCAAUUGCCCUGGAAGCGAAUCAAUAAAAGAGUGCAAGACUUGAGAAAGAAAUUUGUAACACAAAGAUCAACCUCUCCAGGCUGAAGCAAUUGUGUUCCUGAACCUUCUCCCACAUUCCACCACCACGCAGAUUAUUCUAGAGCCAUAGUUAUGGAAGGAAAAAGGAUUUUCCGCUUAUGACACCCAAGAAAGUGUGGGAAGGUUGUUGAUUAUCUCAUUGAGCUGGCACAAGUGGUGGAGAUCCCUAAUCACUUUAUAUGCACCUGCAUUCUUUUCCAGAUUUAUGGAACAUAGAGAAAAGUUCUAGGUUUUCCUUUUUCUUUGUUAACAAAGAUAAUUGUUGCUUAUUGUUUUCCUUGGCUAUCCCACUUUUAGUGUAGGUUGUGGGAAAAUUCCCAAAUUACUCCUUAGGAUAUUUGAAUCGGCAUCCUGAUUCUCUUUUUUUCUUUCAUAAAUAUCUAUUCGAUUUGCAAAUAGUCCAGUGUUUUCCUUACCUACUCAUUGUUCAUAGACUAACCCCGAGUGUUUGAAGAGUCGGUACUUUCUAUGACUUUUUGUGAAGUGAGCAGAUCAAGCUCCACUCUCAACCUGGUCAGUCUUCAAUCUACCAUUUACUUUAAUGUCAUGUCUUCUAAUUUGUAUUUGUUCAGGAUUUCAAAAUUAAUGUCUGAUUUCUACCAUUUUCAUUAUUGUUCUAUUAUUUUAAGCUACAUAUGAAGUGUUAAGUGUUGUACAUGUUAGGUAGAAUUAAGAAGUGAAUUAGGUACUCUUGAGAAGGGAUAAUUCUAUGGGUGUUGACUUGGUUUUUAGUUUGAUUGUUUAGCUAUAACAUAAAAUCUCAAUACUUACAUUUACAAUAUUAGAAUGCACUGAUCUAAACAAGAGACUAUUAAAUCACUGAAAAAAGUCCUCUCUAACUGGUAUAAAAUCAGAUUCUUUUCCACAAAAAAAGGACUAGGGUUAAUCUUAGUUUACUACUAUGAAGUUUCGUGGUUUUCAACAUUUGGUACAUGUAGUUUUUUUCAUUCCAGAGUCAUACUUCAAAUCUUAAUUUUGGACAGUUUCAUACAUUCGUUAAGUUAGCUGUUAAGUCAACCGUUAACUGAUAACGUGGCGCUCAUGUGGACAAUGACUGGACACCACGUGUCAAUAUAGGCCUAUAUAAAUAUUAAAAAAAUUAAAGAAUUAAAAAAAAAAAAAAAUUAAAGAACUAAACAAAUAAAAAAAAGGCCUAGGGAUGCGGGCCUUCCCGUUCCUCCACCUGCAUCAACCCUUUUUCUUCCCCAUCGCUGUUGAUUGCAGCAUCUUCCCCAACCCAUUCCUCCUAUUGCACUCCCUUGCUUCUCCUACAGCAUAAACCCAGCAACAACUGCGUCGUCGCUGUUGGAUCCAAACAAAUUUUGGGUCAUCGAUCAGGAGGUCUAGAUGGAGGGUUUUGAUGGUGGGUGGGUAGGUCGAUUGUUGAACUAAAGGUUUUUGACGAAAGGCGUUUGAGAGACUUAAAGGACGAAGACGGUGAAGGACUGGAAGGGAGGGGAGGUGAAGAGGGCAGAGGGAGAGGGAUGACUCAUUGGCCACAAAGAGGUCGAGCUUGUAGAUAUGGGGGACCUCGGUGGGGUGCGCUAGCCGGAAUCUGGGGUUUCUCCAAUUUUUGAAUGGGCGACGCUAAUUGAUCAAAUUCUUUGGAUUUCUGCGUGCUCUGCUCGUUUUCUCAACUGGGGUUUCUCCAAUUUUUGAACUUCACAGGUGCCCACAUGGGACUGGGACUCGAUUGAACACAGAGUGACGAAGGUUUUGUGGAAGUGAUCAAGGAACAGGUACGAUGGAAUCGGAGCUGGGUUUAAUCGAGCAGUCGUUGAUCAGCCGCUACUCUCUCUGGGUGCACGAAGCUCUGAGCGAAUUGCCCGACAGCUUCACGAUCACUGACCCUUCGAUUUCUGGGCAUCCAAUCGUGUUUGCGAGUAAAGGGUUCCUGAAAAUGUCGGGAUAUUUGAAGAACAAGGUGUUCGGGAGGAAUGGCAGUGUUUCAGGGUUCGGGGACUUGCAGGCGGUUGGUCAUGGAGGUCCGGGAGGCCAGAGAAGGGGAAGAAAGGUUCUGCAAAAAUCCAAGGAGAAGCACGCAUCCUAUGGCAUUUUAAUUUGUUUUUUCUUUAAUUUUUAUUUAUUAAUUUUAGUUUUUUUUUUAAUUUUUUAAUUUUUUUAAUUUUUUUAUAUCACGUGGACCUAUAUUGACAUGUGGCACCUAGUCAUUGUCCACUUAGGUGUCAUGUCACUAGUUAACAGCUGAUUAAACAGCCAACUUAACAGAUGUAUGAAAUUGUUCCAAAAUUAAGACUUGAGGUAUGACUGGGAUGAAAAAAAUUUCAUGUACCAAAUGUUAAAAAUCAUGAAAGUUUAAGAUAGUAAACUGAGAUUAAUCCAAAAGACUAUGUAACCAUACUUUAUUAUUAUUAUUUUUUUAGUAUAAACAUGUUGAUGUAUAAAUUAAUUGCAUGUAUUUUAAUAUUUCA